rnacentral:rRNA from 1 species
AGAGUUUGAUCAUGGCUCAGAACGAACGCUGGCGGCAUGCCUAACACAUGCAAGUCGAACGAAGCCUUCGGGCUUAGUGGCGCACGGGUGCGUAACACGUGGGAAUCUGCCCUUCGGUUCGGAAUAACAGUUAGAAAUGACUGCUAAUACCGGAUGAUGACGUAAGUCCAAAGAUUUAUCGCCGAAGGAUGAGCCCGCGUAGGAUUAGGUAGUUGGUAGGGUAAUGGCCUACCAAGCCGACGAUCCUUAGCUGGUCUGAGAGGAUGAUCAGCCACACUGGGACUGAGACACGGCCCAGACUCCUACGGGAGGCAGCAGUGGGGAAUAUUGGACAAUGGGCGAAAGCCUGAUCCAGCAAUGCCGCGUGAGUGAUGAAGGCCUUAGGGUUAUAAAGCUCUUUUACCAGGGACGAUAAUGACAGUACCUGGAGAAUAAGCUCCGGCUAACUACGUG